AUUGAACGCUGGCGGCAGGCCUAACACAUGCAAGUCGAACGUGUGGCGGACGGGUGAGUUAUGUCUGGGAAACUGCCUGCUGGAUGGGGUUAACUACUGGAACCGGUAGCUAAUACCGCAUACCAUCGGAUGUUCCCCUCUGGGCUUAGCUAGUUGGUGGGGUAAAGGCUCACAUAGGCGACGAUGCCUAGCUGGUCUGAGAGGAUGACCAGGCACACUGGAAAUGUGACACGGGCCAGACGCCUACGGGAGGCACCAGUGGGGAAUAUUGCACAAUGGGCGCAAGCCGGAUGCAGCCAUGCCGCGUGUAUGAAGAAGGCCCUAGGGUUGUAAAGUACGUUUGGCAGAGAAGCGGUAGCUGCAGAAGAAGCACCGGCUAACUACGUGCCAGCAGCCGCGGUAAUAC
rnacentral:rRNA from 1 species